rnacentral:lncRNA from 1 species
UGAAACAACUGUCCAAAUUAUGUUAUACGCCAAGUCCAUACAUACUUGUUCGGUCGAUAUGCCAAGUCCUUGCUUUUUUUUUUUUUUUUUUUUGUCAAACAGAUACUUCAUUAAAUAAGAGACUUGGACCCGCCCAAAGUUAAAAGUUCAAUACAGCAGAAACAGAAGACAGAUAAAUAGGAUGGGCUGAAUGAGCCGAAAUAGAGGUUGACUGGGCUAAGUCCCUUUCUGCGAGGGCAUCAGCGUCUCGAUUCUGAGCUCAAGGGAUGAAAGAGAACGUGAUAUCGGAGAAAGCGGACGAGAUCUGUUGAAUGCCAAGUGCUUGCCUCUUUAACAAUUGUCAAAGGUAUACUUUACAUUUUUUAUGCACCUUAUUGGUUGAUCUAAUUAGUUCCAAAAAACGUAUCUAGUGCUAUAGAAUAGGUUAGCUAUACAAUAUUGCAUGACCCAAAUUUGGAGUGUUUUCCAACUAAUGUCAUAAGAUAACCGGAUCAUCUAUCACCGAACUACAAUGUAAACUCUAUAAGUCAAAGACAAAGUCAAACUUUCUACAUGGCUAUUGUUCUGUUUUAAAGGCUCGAACCCCGGAGAGAGUGUUACAGCACAUUCACAAGUCUUGCUUACAACUUAAUCACACAACCAUGCAGGCUAUACUUAACGUAUGAUUAUGCAAAAAAGUAACAGAGAUGUAUAUUUUUUACAUUAACACAUAACAAUAUAUAUAAGCAUAUAUACUUACUUUAAGGAGUUUACACACAACACAUAAAACAUGUCACACGGACUAUACACACAUAUGCAAGCAUCAUUGGACAUGUAACAUCAUGUUCUUGAACUCUUCAAAAUCAAUAACACCAUCAAGAUUCUUGUCAUGGGCUCGAAUCAUCCUCCCACAAUCCCAACUCUUUGUCUCCUCCUCGAAUCCGAGCCGUUCCAACACCGUUCGAAGCUCCUCCGACGAAAUAUAACCAUCUCCGUUCACGUCAAACACAUUAAACGCCCCCACAAUCGCAUCAUCAUUAUCAACAACACUAUCGUUCUUUGUUUCCUUCCUAUUCGAAACGGCGUCGUCGUAGAACCGAAGGAACUCGUCUAAGUCGAGACUCUGUUUCCCAACGAACAGUUCGAGUUCUUCGGGAGUGUGUUCGGACCAGCCGAGUCUCUCUAGUAUCCAAUGAAGCUCGUCGAGGGUCACGAGACCGUCUUGGUUCUUGUCGAGCUUGUGGAACAUUCUUUGGAGAUCGUUUAUGCUUAUGAAUGAACAAUCCAUACCUCUCGGUGUUUCUGUUUCUGAUAGUUUUAGACGUUUUGGUUAGCGUUGGUGAAAAUAUGGGUACUCUGUUUCUGAAUAAAGUUUCAAGCUUUAUCGGCUAUAGACUCUUCAUAAGUACGUACGGACGGG